CCUACGGGAGGCAGCAGUUAGGAAUAUUGGACAAUGGGCGCAAGCCUGAUCCAGCCAUGCCGCGUGAGUGAUGAAGGCCUUCGGGUUGUAAAGCUCUUUAGUCCACGAAUAUAAUGACUGUAGUGGAAGAAUAAGCCCCGGCUAACUUCGUGCCAGCAGCCGCGGUAAU
rnacentral:rRNA from 1 species